AACGCAUCUUGCACCCUGGGGUAUUCCCUAGGGUAUGUCUGUCUGAGUGUUAUUUGAACUCUCAAAGCCACCUUCCUUUGAUUAGGCUGGUGUGCUUUGGAUCAUGGGUGUUUGUGAGCUUUGGCUUGCUCGCCUCAAAUGGAAUGUGGCAUUCUUCUCUGAAGCUGCUGCUGGGCUUGACCUGGAGUGAUAGAAGUCUUUCGAGAUCUCUGGGGAACCAUCUUAUGAUGGUGCCUGCUGUGGUGGGAGGGAGUGUCUAGCGGACUCAUCUGACGUUUUUGACCUCAGAUCAGGCAGGACUACCCGCUGAACUUAA
rnacentral:misc_RNA from 1 species